rnacentral:rRNA from 1 species
GAUGAACGCUGGCGGCGUGCCUAAUACAUGCAAGUCGAGCGAACAGACGAGGAGCUUGCUCCUCUGACGUUAGCGGCGGACGGGUGAGUAACACGUGGAUAACCUACCUAUAAGACUGGGAUAACUUCGGGAAACCGGAGCUAAUACCGGAUAAUAUAUUGAACCGCAUGGUUCAAUAGUGAAAGACGGUUUUGCUGUCACUUAUAGAUGGAUCCGCGCCGCAUUAGCUAGUUGGUAAGGUAACGGCUUACCAAGGCGACGAUGCGUAGCCGACCUGAGAGGGGGAUGGCCCACUCUGAACCGGACACCCGGCCCAGCCCCCUAGGGGGGGCAAAAGUAGGAAAUCUCCCGAAAGGGGAGAAACCCUGAGGGGGCAACGCCGGGGGAGUGAUGAAGGUCUUCGGAUCGUAAAACUUUUUUAUUAGGAAAAAAAAAAUGUGUAAGAAACUAUGCCCGUCUUGACGGUACCAAAUCAGAAAGCCACGGCUAACUACGU